GUAGACACUAGCGUGUGCGCGAGUCCUGGGUGAAACCUAAAGGCGGAAUGAAAGUAAAGGGGGCUUUGCUUCCGAGGGAAGAUGGGCGCGACUUGCCUUUAUAAGGGGGUGCCCCGCACUCCCGGGGCGUCUCUUUUCUCUUUAUGAGUGGAGGCGCACCUAUAGCGCACACGCUGAUACCCGAAAGAUGGUGAACUAUGCCUGGCCAGGACGAAGCCAGGGGAAACCCUGGUGGAGGUCCGCAGCGAUUCUGACGUGCAAAUCGAUCGUCGGAGCUGGGUAUAGGGGCGAAAGGCCAAUCGAACCAUCUAGUAGCUGGUUCCCUCUGAAGUUUCCCUCAGGAUAGCUUGCGCUCGGAGAGAAGAGUCUCAUCCGGUAGAGCGAAUGAUUAGAGGCCUUGGGGUCGAAACGACCUCAACCUAUUCUCAAACUCCAAAUAGAUGAGAUGCCCGGCUUGCUUGAAAGUGAAGCCGGGACUCGGAUCGGAGUGCCAAGUGGGCCAAUUUUGGUAAGCAGAACUGGCGCUGUGGGAUGAACCAAACGCAGAGUUAAGGCGCCUGAAUCGACGCUCAUGUGAAACCAUGAAAGGCGUUGGUUGCUUAAGACAGCAAGAUGGGGGCCCAUGGAAGUCGGAAUCCGCUAAGGGAGUGGUGUAAAA
rnacentral:rRNA from 1 species